AUAUUCUGUUGGCAGUAACAAUAAAAUUGCUCAAUACUGAUCUGUUCUUAUCAGUUUAAUAUCUGAUACGUCUCCUAUCCGGGGACCAUAUAUUAAAUUGAUUUUUGGAACUGGGAGAUGGAAUAGGGGCUUGCACCGUCCACUCCAUGCAUCGACCUGGUAUUGCAGUACCUCCAGGAACGGUGCACCCCCA